UGCAGGCUGCAACUCGCCUGCAUGAAGUUGGAAUUGCUAGUAAUCGCGGAUCAGCAUGCCGCGGUGAAUACGUUCCCGGGCCUUGUACACACCGCCCGUCACACCAUGGGAGCCGGUAAUACCCGAAGUCAGUAGCCUAACCGCAAGGGGGGCGCUGCCGAAGGUAGGAUUGGCGACUGGGGUGAAGUCGUAACAAGGUACC
rnacentral:rRNA from 1 species